rnacentral:rRNA from 1 species
UACGGAGGGGACUAGCGUUGUUCGGAAUUACUGGGCGUAAAGCGCACGUAGGCGGAUUUGUAAGUCAGGGGUGAAAUCCCGGGGCCCAACCUCGGAACUGCCUUUGAUACUGCAAAUCUCGAGUCCGGAAGAGGUGAGUGGAAUUCCUAGUGUAGAGGUGAAAUUCGUAGAUAUUGGGAAGAACACCGGUGGCGAAGGCGGCUCUCUGGACCGAUACUGACGCUGAGGCGCGAAAAGCGUGGGGAGCAAACAGG